CAUGGAAAGGCUGCCCGCGGCCGGUGUUUCCCCUUCUCGGGAGGCGCCAGUUGGCGGACGCUGGACUAUUUUAUUACCCUUGUCUUUUGCGCACUUGUUGUUUCCUGGGCGGGUUCGCCCGCCACCAGGACCACACUAUAAACCUUUUGUAUGCAGUUGCAAUCAGCGUCAGUACAACAAAUGUAAAAUCAUUUACAACUUUCAACAACGGAUCUCUUGGUUCUGGCAUCGAUGAAGAACGCAGCGAAAUGCGAUACGUAGUGUGAAUUGCAGAAUUCAGUGAAUCAUCGAAUCUUUGAACGCACAUUGCGCCCUUUGGUAUUCCAAAGGGCAUGCCUGUUCGAGCGUCAUUUGUACCCUCAAGCUUUGCUUGGUGUUGGGCGUUUUUGUCUUGGGGCCUGCCCCUAAAAGACUCGCCUUAAAAAGAUUGGCAGCCGGCCUACUGGUUUCGCAGCGCAGCACAUUUUUGCGCUUGCAACCAGCCCUAAAGAGGACGGCACUCCAUCAAGUCUCUUUAUUCACUUUUGACCUCGGAUCAGGUAGGGAUACCCGCUGAACUUAAGCAUAUCAAUAAGCGGAGGAAAAGAAACCAACAGGGAUUGCCUUAGUAACGGCGAGUGAAGCGGCAACAGCUCAAAUUUGAAAUCUGGCUCUUUUAGGGUCCGAGUUGUAAUUUGCAGAGGGCGCUUUGGCUUUGGCAGCGGUCCAAGUUCCUUGGAACAGGACGUCACAGAGGGUGAGAAUCCCGUACGUGGUCGCUAGCUAUUGCCGUGUAAAGCCCCUUCGACGAGUCGAGUUGUUUGGGAAUGCAGCUCUAAAUGGGAGGUAAAUUUCUUCUAAAGCUAAAUAUUGGCCAGAGACCGAUAGCGCACAAGUAGAGUGAUCGAAAGAUGAAAAGCACUUUGGAAAGAGAGUCAAACAGCACGUGAAAUUGUUGAAAGGGAAGCGCUUGCAGCCAGACUUGCUUGCAGUUGCUCAUCCGGGCUUUUGCCCGGUGCACUCUUCUGCAGGCAGGCCAGCAUCAGUUUGGGCGGUGGGAUAAAGGUCUCUGACACGUUCCUUCCUUCGGGUUGGCCAUAUAGGGGAGACGUCAUACCACCAGCCUGGACUGAGGUCCGCGCAUCUG
rnacentral:rRNA from 1 species